rnacentral:rRNA from 1 species
GAUGAACGCUGGCGGCGUGCCUAAUACAUGCAAGUAGAACGCUGAAGGAGGAGCUUGCUCUUCUGGAUGAGUUGCGAACGGGUGAGUAACGCGUAGGUAACCUGCCUGGUAGCGGGGGAUAACUAUUGGAAACGAUAGCUAAUACCGCAUGACAACAGUUAUUGCAUGAUAACUGUUUAAAAGGGGCAACUGCUCCACUACCAGAUGGACCUGCGUUGUAUUAGCUAGUUGGUGAGGUAACGGCUCACCAAGGCGACGAUACAUAGCCGACCUCAGAGGGGGCUCGGCCACGCUGGGACUGGGACACGGCCCAGCCUCCUACGGGAGGCAGCAGUAGGGAAUCUUCGGCGAUGGACGGAAGUCUGACCGAGCAACGCCGCGUGAGUGCAGAAGGUUGUCGGAUCGUAAAGCUCUGUUGUAAGAGAAGAACGAGUGUGAGAGUGGAAAGUUCACACUGUGACGGUAUCUUACCAGAAAGGUACGGCUAACUACGUG